GACGAACGCUGGCGGCGUGCCUAACACAUGCAAGUCGAACGGAGUAAGUAGCAAUACUUACUUAGUGGCGAACGGGUGAGUAACGCGUAGACAACCUGCCUCUAAAUUGGGGACAACACCGCGAAAGUGGUGCUAAUACCGAAUGUGGUAUCUCUGUUGCAUGACUGAGAUAAGAAAGAUGGCCUCUACAUGUAAGCUAUCGUUUAGAGAUGGGUCUGCGUCUGAUUAGCUAGUUGGUGAGGGAAAGGCUCACCAAGGCGACGAGCAGUAGCCGGUCUGAGCGGAUGAACGGCCACACUGGGACUGAGACACGCCCCAGACUCCUACGGGAGGCAGCAGUGGGGAAUCUUCCGCAAUGGACGAAGGUCUGACGGAGCAACGCCGCGUGAGUGAAGAAGGCCUUCGGGUCGUAAAGCUCUGUCGUUUGGGACGAACGUGUUCCAUGCAAAUAGUGUGGAAUAAUGACGGUACCAAAGGAGGAAGCCACGGCUAACUACGUGCCAGCCGCCGCCGUAA
rnacentral:rRNA from 1 species